GUGCUUGCUUCAGCAGCACAUAUACUAAAAAACUGUAACAAUUCAAAGAUUAGCAUGGCCUCUGCGCAAGGAUGACAGGCAAAUUCAUGAAAUGUUCCAUAUUUUU